UACGUAGGGGGCUAGCGUUGUCCGGAAUCAUUGGGCGUAAAGAGCGCGUAGGCGGCCAGAUAAGUCCGGUGUGAAAGUCACAGGCUCAACCUGUGAAUGCCGCUGGAAACUGUCUGGCUAGAGUCCGGGAGGGGCGAGUGGAAUUCCUGGUGUAGCGGUGAAAUGCGCAGAUAUCAGGAGGAACACCAAUGGCGAAGGCAGCCCCCUGGGCUAACACUGACGCUCAGGCACGAAAGCGUGGGGAGCAAACAGG
rnacentral:rRNA from 1 species